rnacentral:rRNA from 1 species
AGAUUGAACGCUGGCGGCAUGCCUUACACAUGCAAGUCGAACGCGAAAGUAGGGGGCAACCCCUGCGAGUAGAGUGGCGAACGGGUGAGUAAUACAUCGGAACGUGUCCAGUAGCGGGGGAUAACCUCUCGAAAGAGAGGCUAAUACCGCAUACGACCUACGGGUGAAAGGGGGGAUCGCAAGACCUCCCACUAUUGGAGCGGCCGAUGUCGGAUUAGCUAGUUGGCGGGGUAAAAGCCCACCAAGGCGACGAUCCGUAGCUGGUCUGAGAGGACGGCCAGCCACACUGGAACUGAGACACGGUCCAGACUCCUACGGGAGGCAGCAGUGGGAAUUUGGACAAUGGGCGAAAGCCUGAUCCAGCCAUGCCGCGUGG